UACAGAGGGUGCGAGCGUUAAUCGGAAUUACUGGGCGUAAAGCGCGCGUAGGCGGCUUGGCAAGUCGGGUGUGAAACCUCCAGGCUCAACCUGGAGACGCCACCCGAUACUGCCAUGGCUAGAGUCCGGUAGGGGACCACGGAAUUCCUGGUGUAGCGGUGAAAUGCGUAGAGAUCGUAAGGAAGGCCAGUGGCGAAGGCGAGUUCCUGGACAGUUACUGACGCUGAGGCACGAAGGCCAGGGGAGCAAACGGG
rnacentral:rRNA from 1 species